ACGGGAGGCAGCAGUAGGGAAUAUUGGUCAAUGGGGGAAACCCUGAACCAGCGACGCCGCGUGAGUGAAGAAGUAUUUCGGUAUGUAAAGCUCUAUCAGCAGGGACGAUAAUGACGGUACCUGACUAAGAAGCCCCGGCUAACUACGUGCCAGCAGCCGCGGUAAUACGUAGGGGGCAAGCGUUAUCCGGAUUUACUGGGUGUAAAGGGAGCGUAGGUGGCCAUGCAAGUCAGAUGUGAAAACCCGGGGCGCAACCCCGUGACUGCAUUUGAAACUGCGUGGCUGGAGUACAGGAGAGGUAAGCGGAAUUCCUAGUGGAGCGGUGAAAUGCGUAGAUAUUAGGAGGAACACCAGUGGCGAAAGCGGCUUACUGGACUGAAACUGACACUGAGGCUCGAAAGCGUGGGGAGCAAACAGGAUUAGAUACCCUGGUA
rnacentral:rRNA from 1 species